CACUGUGAUGCAGUGUCAAGGUGUGUCCCUUGGUCACCAAUAGGCCAAUGAUCAUAUUAGGCAUCGAUGGUGUGAGUGAAGGCUAGUUAUUCUACCAAGUUCUACUGCACGAGCUCGACACCAUCUGUAGGGCAUGUGCGUCGCUUGAGGCGAACUACCAGACACAUGUCACUUUCAUCGUAGUCCAGAAGCGCCACUACACCAGGUUGUUCGUGCACAACCACAAUGACCAGAACUCCGUCGACCGGAGCGGCAACAUCCUCCCUGGAACUGUUGUCGACUCCAAGAUCUUCCACCCGUGGAGUUCGACUUUGUCCUGAGCAGUUAUGCCGACAUCAAGGGCACGAGUCGCGUGAUGCAUUACCAUGACUGAUGCGCGGCAGUCCCUCACCAACAAACUGUGCUACAUGGCUACACGACAAAGCUACUGGAGGAGCACCACCUGCUCAAUACAGUUAAUCUGGAGGUUUGUUUUACCCUGACAACUCAUCGCAACAAUCGGUAACAACCAGCGCCACCCCCUCGCAGCAGCGACACCCCAGCAACCUGGCUCAUCCCAUGACCGUCUAGAUGAUAGAGUGAAUGGCUCCUACAAGACCUGGUGCUAUCCUGGUUGCGGCAGGCAUCCGUCUUCGAUUACUUCCUGCAUUGAGUUCACCACGCCUCAACCACAACCACGGUGGCCUCUUCAUCAUCUCUACGGUUUAGCUCCUACAAGACCUGGUGUAGUGGUGUUGUGCUGUCCGCGGUGUACAUUUGGCUUCGACUACUUGUUGCAUUGAGUUCACUUCUCCUCAACCACAAGCACGGUGGCCUCUUCAUCAACUCGAUGGUUUAGGACAAUGAGGAUGACAACCAGGGUAAGUUAUGUGGAACCUGGAGCUGCUGCCCGCAGCCUGAUGCAUCACUUGGAAGCUUGAUGAUUGCAGUGUGUGAGUAGCCAAGGUUUCACAUUCGAUACCAUCUUGUAGCGCGGCAUUUAUGUGUUGUAUGUGACCAUCCCAUGGUUGACUUUUGACCUGUGCAUCAGCUCUCGUUGGUGUUGGUGGUUUAGUGUCGUUUGAUUUCUGUUUGGUUCGACCUCUGGUAUGGUUGAAUGCCACAUGAGGUGUGCUGUUGCACUUGUGUAGUUUGUGAAGUGUAUAUAUAUUAAUUGUCGUGUGAUCUUGAAAGUCCGGAAAAUACCC